rnacentral:rRNA from 1 species
AGGACGAACGCUGGCGGCGUGCCUAACACAUGCAAGUCGAGCGGGGACAUGCGACGGAUAGGAAGAUUCGGUUGGACUUGAAGAUGCAUUGUCUAGCGGCGGACGGGUGAGUAACGCGUGAGCAACCUGUCCCUUACAGGGGGAUAACACAGCGAAAGUUGUACUAAUACCGCAUAAGACCACGGGAGGACAUCCUUCAGGGGUCAAAGGAGGAAUCCGGUAAGGGUGGGCUCGCGUCCGAUUAGAUAGUUGGUGAGGUAACGGCCCACCAAGUCGACGAUCGGUAGCCGACCUGAGAGGGUGAUCGGCCACAUUGGGACUGGGACACGGCCCAAACUCCUACGGGAGGCAGCAGUGGGGAAUAUUGGGCAAUUGGGGGGAAACCCUGACCCAGCAACGCCGCGUGAGGGAAGAAGGUUUUCGGAUCGUAAACCUCUGUCCUUGGUGAAGAGGAAGAGACGGUAGCCAGGGAGGAAGCCCCGGCUAACUACGUGCCAGCCGCCGC